UAGUCUACGCCGUAAACGAUGGAUACUAGUUGUUUGGCAUUCGUGCUGAGUGACUAAGCGAAAGUGAUAAGUAUCCCACCUGGGGAGUACGUUCGCAAGAAUGAAACUCAAAGGAAUUGACGGGGGCCCGCACAAGCGGUGGAGCAUGUGGUUUAAUUCGAUGAUACGCGAGGAACCUUACCAGGGCUUAAAUGUAGAUUGACAGACUGAGAGAUCGGUUUUUCUCGGACAAUUUACAAGGUGCUGCAUGGUUGUCGUCAGCUCGUGCCGUGAGGUGUCAGGUUAAGUCCUAUAACGAGCGCAACCCCUGUUGUUAGUUGCCAGCAUGUAAAGACGGGAAUUCUAACAAGACUGCCAGUGCAAACUGCGAGGAAGGUGGGGAUGACGUCAAAUCAUCACGGGCCCUUACGUCCUGGGGCCACACACGUGCUACAAUGGUAGGUACAGAGAGCAGCCACGUCGCGAGGCGGAGCGAAUCUAUAAAA
rnacentral:rRNA from 1 species